rnacentral:tRNA from 1 species
GGGGUUGUAGCUUAGUGGUUAGUUUUGGACUUAUGAUUUAAAGGUUGGGGGUUCGAUUCCUGAUCCCA